UACAGAGGUCUCAAGCGUUAUUCGGAUUCACUGGGCGUAAAGGGUGCGCAGGCGGCCAAGUGUGUUAGGCGUGAAAGCCUGAGGCUUAACCUCAGAAUUGCACCUAAAACUACAUGGCUAGAGCAUUGGAGAGGGUAGCGGAAUUCACGGUGUAGCAGUGAAAUGCGUAGAUAUCGUGAGGAACACCAGAGGCGAAGGCGGCUACCUGGACAAUUGCUGACGCUCAGGCACGAAAGCGUGGGGAGCAAAAGGG
rnacentral:rRNA from 1 species